rnacentral:rRNA from 1 species
UACGGAGGGGGCUAGCGUUGUUCGGAAUUACUGGGCGUAAAGCGCACGUAGGCGGCUUUGUAAGUUAGAGGUGAAAGCCCGGGGCUCAACUCCGGAAUUGCCUUUAAGACUGCAUCGCUCGAAUUGUGGAGAGGUAAGUGGAAUUCCGAGUGUAGAGGUGAAAUUCGUAGAUAUUCGGAAGAACACCAGUGGCGAAGGCGACUUACUGGACACAUAUUGACGCUGAGGUGCGAAAAGUGUGGGGAGCAAACAGG